rnacentral:rRNA from 1 species
UACGAAGGGGACUAGCGUUGUUCGGAAUUACUGGGCGUAAAGCGCACGUAGGCGGAUUCGUAAGUCAGGGGUGAAAUCCCGGGGCUCAACCUCGGAACUGCCUUUGAUACUGCGGAUCUCGAGUCCGAUAGAGGUGGGUGGAAUUCCUAGUGUAGAGGUGAAAUUCGUAGAUAUUAGGAAGAACACCGGUGGCGAAGGCGGCGACCUGGGUAGAUACUGACGCUGAGGCGCGAAAGCGUGGGGAGCAAACAGG